rnacentral:lncRNA from 12 species
CUUAGCUGGCUUUUAGAUCAGAACUGGCCCUCUGGUCUGGAUGCCAAGAGCUAUAACUUCUGCCUUGUACCUUCUCUGGUUCCAUGUUGGGCUGGCCCCCGCAAGAUGGAAUCUGGGUGGGAAGGCAAGCACGUGUGCGCCAGGCUCCUUGAAGAUGUAAAGACGUGAUAACAUAGGAAUGCUGUUCAUUCCAAACUGCAUGUGGGCAAACAAAUGUUUAACUUCAGACCCUGUCAUUUUCCCUUUAAAUGUGGCUCCUAUGGUCAGUUGAAAGUCUCACUUGAGGGGAGGGUGCUACCCAGACCUCUCAGUCAAGACUUCAGCCUACCUGUCUCCCUGGGUCUUCCCCAGCUAAUGAGGUCGAAUGUUAUGUUUUUAAGUUCCCAAAAUAAAUCGGGAUAUUCAGUGAACCACAAUAUCUGAAAGAUAAAGCAAGUGCUUACCUGUUUGCUUUGCCAUCUGCUCUGUUUUGGAUUGGGUAAGUACAUAUUCAAUCCCCCCAAACAGCAUGAAUGUCUCAAAUUCCCACAGUGACUGGCUUCAGUUCCAUCUGGUUGAUUCUUGUUAUUUCAUUACAACUGUUCAGAUUUAUAAACCCAGCAAUUAAAAAAACCUUAGACAUGUUAAUACCUA